UACCCUAAACGAGGAUCUCCAUCGCUGUAAGCUGCUGGCGUGUUGUGUCGGAAUGAACGGUUUGUGCUGGACGGCCUUAGACGGUCGGAUCAAGUGAUGAGCUUCCAAACCGAUCCACAAUCUUGAGCCAAACUUUUCUAUCUCUGCUUCGAUUUUGACGCUUUAGCCAUACUGAACAUAGAAACCGGCCCUUGGCGCUUACGAGAACAAAGUCGCCGAAAGGAAUCGACCUGCAAAAUAGCAAUAAACUUAUAACCUAUCCAAGGUCCAAAACAGCCGUUAGCAUGAUUUUAGGGUAGCGGUUGUCGAAUAGGUGGCGGUGCCGAGAUUUGGUUGUUGCUGUCGGAGGUGUGGUAGCGAUUUGAAGGUAAACGGUGAAUUUAGGUUGAAGGACGGUUUAGUGGUUUGAUGGUUUUUGUGAGGGUUUCGUGAGAGGAUGACGGUGAGGUUGUGGUGGAGGUUCUAUGGUGACGGAUAGUGGUGAGCGUGAUGACGGUGAGCGGAGGCGAGGGGGGUGGGAUGGAGAUUCGGAGUGAAUCGAAAACGGAGGCGGCGUUGUAGUGUUGUUGUGUGACGGUUGAGCGCUUGCAAGGAGAUUUGGGGUUUGAAGAGGGAUUUGUGAGGAGGAGGGAGAGAGAGCGAUGGAGUUGGUGUGCGGUGUUUCGGAGUGAUGGCGGAGGAUGGUGACGAGCUGGGGUUUCGCCGGAGGAUGAAGGGUUUUAUGGUUGAAAGAGAGAGGAAAUUCUUUGGAUUUUUCUGUGAGGAUUUUUCUGAGAGAGGGAGAGUGUAGGGAUUUAUGAGUGUGGUUGAGAGCGUGAGAUCAUCAGAGGAUCUCCUUAGAUCUUUUUUUGGAUUUUUUUAUAACCGUUUGAGAGUGAGUGUGUAAAGAGAUUUUUUUUUGUUUUUUU
rnacentral:lncRNA from 1 species